UCAGCCAUAAACCUAGACAUCCAACUACAAUUAAACGUCCGCCCGGGUACUACGAGCAUUAGCUUGAAACCCAAAGGACCUGACGGUGCCUUAGACCCCC
rnacentral:rRNA from 1 species